UUGUUAGUCUGUCAGAUAAAAGAUUCACAUUUUCGUGAUCCUCGUCAAAUUUGGGGUCGACUCCAGGUAUCAACUCAAAAUACCCCAAAUUCGUCAAAAAUCGCAAAUUUUCAUGAGCAAUAGUUCAUGAAAAAUCGCGAUUUUUGUCAAAUCCGACUUUUAGCAAAAAACAAGUAAUUCCCAUCCCAAAUCUAUUAAGGAUCACUAAAAUCCUACUCGUUUUGUUAUGGGAUCAUUAUUUCUGGAGAUAUUGGCUACUUCCGGUUACUUCCGGAAAAUUUCCGUGACAAUCUGCAAAAAGCUGAUCCUACGAGCUACGACAAUUUUACCUACAAAUGUUUAGCCGUUUCGUGCUGCACUUAGUAGUCUAUUUUCUAGGAUGUAAUGCCUAAAAUUGGAAUUCAGCUAUCAGAGAUUAGCAAAAAUCAAGCGGAAAUUCUAGAUGGCGUUUUUGUGCGUUUAUGAUGAAGAUUAUGAGUGACAAGUUAAAUGGGUGUUUGUUACGUUACGCUGUUAUGUGUUUCAAAGGAUUUUUCGUCAAAAAAUUUACGAUUACUUUUUGUCUGUGUUGGUGUGUCACCUUGUCAGCUAUGCCAGCUGCUGAACCAGCAGCCUGCAUUCCUGCUAUCAAUGUAUCACAAGAGAUCCUGACACUUUGAGAAUGCCACUAUUGCUUACAUGAAGAUCUCCAUCCAGUUCAAGUACUGCUAAUGGACCUCAAGCCUUUUGUUUAAGCUUAGUGAUGUGUUCUCUCAUCAGUCAACGACCGAGUCUUCAUCUACUUUGUGUUGCUAACCAUCCACCCUCAGCAUCCCAGGUAUCCAGAUUUCCAAGUUUCUCUGAUUAGCCAACCAUCAUCCAAACCCUUCAGCUCUUCAAUGUGGCUUCUCUUCCUCUCUUCCUCUGUUGGCAAUCUGCUGAAUGCCAACAUUGAAUAAGAUUCAUCAUCAUUGCCUUUCCAUGAAAUCUUCAUUGUUAUUCCUGCUGUUCUUCUCACCGUUACUUAGCCAGCUCAUAUGGAUAGGCUUUAACAUCUCCAUUUUUUGGACUGCAAAUAUUCAUCUUCCUUCGGUACGACACUGCCGUUUUGACAAUUUCGGUAGUUUCGCCCCCAGUGGACCACACACAACUACAUUUUCUUCGUCUUCCUGUCGUUGUUGUCUACGACUUCACCUCAUCGCUGUCUUCGUUGACGUCUUCGCCUUCAUCUCCGUCUCGUCGUCUUGGUCGUCUUCGCCUUCAUCUCCGUCUCGUCGUCUUGGUCGUCUUCGCCUUCAUCUCCGUCUCGUCGUCUUGGUUGUCUUCGCCUUCAUCUUCGUCUCGUCGUCUUCGCCGUCUUUGUCUACGCCAUCACCUUGUCGCCGGCUUCUCCUUCACCCUUUACAAGGGAAUUCACCGUGGAUCGUCGCUCUGGUAUUGUUUUAUUUUGCAUUGUAAUUGUUAAGUUAACCCGUUGGCUGCCACCCCGUUUGCGUCCCAUUUUUGUUGUAGCUUGUAGGGACCGGCCGCAAUGGCCUUCGCCGCAAGGCGCCUUAGG